CCUGGGGCAGCCAUGUGAUGGAGCGACGGAAGGGCAUUCGUGGCAAGUCUCUCGGAAUGCCUGUUACAUUCUCUCGUCACAGUUGGGCUGCUGCGGGUGCCUCCUGAUUUUCUCCUUGACAAUCUGACUGCCAGCAAUGAGAUCUGGAGUGCUGGCCAAAGGAAUGUCAGUAGAGAGAUCUCCUGAAGUGUGUGUGGUUAAGUGGGUGUGUACCAGGGGACUCCUUCGCAGAACUUUCUGCUGGAACUGGUCUAGGAAAGUGGAUGGACUCCAGGUAACAGGAGAAGACUCUAAUACCCAGCAAUAAUCGAGACUCGGGAGGUGUGAGGGCACAGAAAAUUGAAAGGCCCCUAAACCAGGGGCUGGCAAGCUCCAGGGACUCAGAAAAGACAAACAAAACAACCAGCAACUCUGUGAACACCUUUACUGCCAGAACAGGGCAGGGCAUGGUGGUUUCCUUGCCCCCAACUCUGUCCAUCACCUAUUUGAAAUGCAUCGGAGUUGUAGACAGAAGAAAUGCGAUUUUCUUUCUUAUUACAUGUAUGUAUUUGUUUAGUAUAUGUGUGAUGUGUUUGGGUGCAAACAUGACACGGUGCGUGUGUGGAGGUCAGAAAACAGUUUGCUGAGGUUGGUUCUCCCCAUGCCAGUCUUGGGGAUGGAACUUGGGUCUUCAGUGUUAACAGUGAGCCCAGAAGGGUUAUUUUCUACCCCUCACACUCAAUGGAAGAACCAAGUGUGAUGGUUAAUUUUGAUUAUCAAUUUGGAAGAAUUUAGAAUCACCAUCCAAAUAAUCUUCUGCUUGCCAUGACCUGCCCAGCUUUGGAAAUGACCUGACUGGAGCCCCGAGGUGUGAAGAAACAACAGACGUGUGUACAGAGGAACUGGGAUCACGACAUCAUCCUCUCCCCACAUCUGAGUGUGUCUAUGAGGGACUUUCUAGAUGGAGCUAAUGAAGUUGAGAAGAUCUACCCCAAAUGUGGGCGGCACCAUUCCCUGGACUAGAGCCUUGGACUGAAUGAAAAGAAGAAAGUGAGCUGUGCCCCAGCAUUCCUCUCUCUCUGCUCCCUGACUGUGGGUACCAUGUGACCUUAUGCUCCUGCCGCCAUGACUACCUCCCAAACUGUACCCUCAAACUGUGAGUUAAGCAAACCCUUCCUCUCUUA